rnacentral:rRNA from 1 species
UACAGAGGGUGCAAGCGUUGUUCGGAAUUAUUGGGCGUAAAGCGCGUGUAGGCGGUGGUUCAAGUCGGGUGUGAAAGCCCUCAGCUUAACUGAGGAAGUGCGCCCGAAACUGAAUCGCUAGAGUGUCGGAGGGGAAGGCGGAAUUCCCGGUGUAGAGGUGAAAUUCGUAGAUAUCGGGAGGAACACCAGUGGCGAAGGCGGCCUUCUGGACGAACACUGACGCUGAGACGCGAAAGCGUGGGUAGCAAACAGG